GAUGAACGCUGGCGGCGUGCCUAAUACAUGCAAGUCGAGCGAACGGACGAGAAGCUUGCUUCUCUGAUGUUAGCGGCGGACGGGUGAGUAACACGUGGAUAACCUACCUAUAAGACUGGGAUAACUUCGGGAAACCGGAGCUAAUACCGGAUAAUAUUUUGAACCGCAUGGUUCAAAAGUGAAGGACGGUCUUGCUGUCACUUAUAGAUGGAUCCGCGCUGCAUUAGCUAGUUGGUAAGGUAACGGCUUACCAAGGCAACGAUGCAUAGCCGACCUGAGAGGGUGAUCGGCCACACUGGAACUGAGACACGCUCCAGACUCCUACGGGAGGCAGCAGUAGGGAAUCUUCCGCAAUGGGCGAAAGCCUGACGGAGCAACGCCGCGUGAGUGAGGAAGGUCUUCGGAUCGUAAAACUCUGUUAUUAGGGAAGAACAUAUGUGUAAGUAACUGUGCACAUCUUGACGGUACCUAAUCAGAAAGCCACGGCUAACUACGUG
rnacentral:rRNA from 1 species